AUCUGAAGUGUUAUUAAAUGUUUAUACAGUUUUUUUUAGCCUGGGCAUUCUCAACCUUUAUAAGACAGUUUUGGAACAGCAAAAGUUCAUUGUUUCUAGAUAGACAUAACUGAUUAAUUUUGUACGGGAGAAGAGAUAAAAGCCCGCCCACACUGACAAUUGAUUGGUUGAUUUGCAGAAACAGGCCAAUCAGGAUGCUCUCUGUCUGACAUGCGCUUCGCACACACGCACAUUAGCACAAACACGCAAGGUAUCUCGCUCCCUCUCCCUCUCUGCCGUGCGUGCGCUACACGGUUUGAAACACUGCAUUCGCGCUUUUGCUCGCUCGGUCUAGAUUCCGGGAGAUUUGCGGGUCUCAGGGAGCCGCUUUCAAUAUGCGGGAGACUCCCGGAACUUCCGGGAGACUUGGGAUUUCUGAACUGCUAUUGAUCGGCUUCUACAUGUUUGCAUACUCCUUGUGAUAUUUUACAAUAUUUAUAAAAACAUAAAUGUUUCUCAAAAUUAUUUCUGACAUUAAUACCAACUUUGACGAAAGUCUGUAUAUAUUUCACAGAUGAUUCAGAAGUUAGGUGUGAUAUUUAAUAAUUAGGGUUUGGGGUUUAAAAUAAACCCUAGCCCGAAUGUUUGACGAAUAUGUGGGAAGUCGUGGCCUUAUGGUUUAGAGAGUCAGACUCGCAAUCGAAGGGUUGUGAGUUCGAGUCUCAUGCCGACAGGAAUUGUAGGUGGGGGAAUAUCAAUAUAGUGCUCUCUUUCAAUCACUUCCAUAAACAUACCUAUAUGUGGCGUUUGAACUUUCUUACAUAUGGUAUGUAGGACUAUUGUAUGUCAAACAUAGUGUGUGUGUAUUUAAUUCAAGUUUAUUUUUAUAGAACUUUUUACGAUACAAAUCACUGCAAAGCAACUUUACAGAAAAUUAUGUUUCUACAAUAUUUAGUAUAAGUGGUGUCUGUCAGUUUAUGUGCAUAUGACAGGAAUUUUCUGAAAAAUUAAUACAAGAGAUAAUCAACCAGACAAUGAACACUAUUAACAGCAAUUAUAAUGUGAUUGCAUAGUAAGUAGCAAUAUUUGUUAGUUCUGUAUGUUGUUUCAGGGUUGGCAUCAUCUCUUCUCAGGUGUUCUGGAUCCAGACUGAAGCUUGUGUAAAUCCUAGUUACCCGUGGCAAAACAGAGAAACAAAUAGAGACAUAAUUAGCAUAGCUGCUGUUCCAACAAAGUAAAAUUAAUUUGUUUAACCCAAGCUUAAAGAAUAAUAAUGUGCAUUUGAUCAGAUACAACUGCAGUCACAAAUUAUGAAAUGCAUUAUUCGAAUGCUUGUGUUUUUAAUCUAGAUUUAAACAGAGAGAGUACAUCUGAACCACAAACAUUAUCAGGAAGGCUAUUCUAGAGUUUGUAAGUAAUAAUAAUUUGUAUCUUGACCUGGUAAGGACUCUAGCCACUGCAUUUUGGGCUACCUGUAGCUUGUUUACUGAAGUUGCAGGACAACCACCUGCAACCCAUUCUCACUCCAAAGGCGUCAAAAACCGAAGCAUGGUCAAGCGCCCCUAGCGUCACUUUUAUGACGCCAAAUGUGCCUCUCGGCGUCGACUAUCGAAGCACUACGACCUUCAUUGCUUUCAGUGGGAAACUUUUGGCGUCAGAAUUCGACACGAGGACAUGAGAUGUUUAUCGCUAUGAAAUCACGUUCAAGAAGUCUCAUUCAGCACACAUCGCGCGAUACUUGCUAUCAUUUCCACAGUUUGGCUGAAAAGACGUAAAGGCAGUCAGCCCAGUGGUGUUUCUGGAGAGGGAUUCCUUCAGAAAUGGAGAAGACAGAAAGCUGCGGAGGCAGAUAUUUGCAGCAUGUUCGAGUGAGCAUGAUGACCACGAGUGUGUGUCGAACUUUUCAUGACCUGAUGACUGUGUUUCCCAAUCCUGAUCCUGGAGAACCCCAGCACUGCACGGUUUUGGCGUCUCUCUUAUCUGCCUUGGAGUCUUCACUGAUGAGCUGAUGAGUUGAAUCAGGUCUAAAAUAUCGAGCUCAACAGCUAUUUGAAGAGCCAACCCUCACAAACCUUCCUAAAAACUAAAAGAGCUAUUACUGAGUCUCAGCGAAUCUUGCCAUGAUCAGCUCUUCCCAGAGUAAGUAGAGAUUUUCUUGUUUGACAAGAGAAAGAAAACCAAGGAAAUGAUUUGCUCAGGAUGAGGAAUGAAGAUGGCCAUCUUGAGCUCAAACAAACAGAAGUCCUCUGAUGAUCUCUUCAGCCAAACGAGGGGUUUUGACCAAGUGAUGCUCUUGAAAGGAGAGAAAGAAGAGGAUGUGGUAAAUUGUCUUCAGAGAAAAAGCUUCUCAAAAGGUCUUAAAACAGCUUGAAGAAUGGUCUGGGAUGUUAGGACUGAGAGAUCCUCUGGCUGAGAACAAGCUACACCACAUCAGUGCUGGAUAUCAACCACAAACUGUUUCCAGACACGAGAGAAGAAGAUCACGAUGGGGAGAUGAAACCAGUUUAGAUGUGAUGAUGGGAAUCAUUAUUUUCUGGAACAGUAUCACAUGUCUUAUAUGUAUCACAUGAUCUGUAUCACAGUUGACUGGAUGGGACUGUGUGACUUUUAAGGACAUUUCAUCACUCAUCUGUGUGAACUGAUUUAUAUAUGAGGUUAAUGUAUCUUUGAUGAUAAUUAUUUUCAUUGAAUCUUAUUUGUCUUGAUGCUACUUUAUCAACUUUAUAGUCUAUGCUUCAAUAAAAUGAAAAUGGUGAA